AGGNUCAUUAGUGNAUUGAAUAUGUUAGCGGACCUCUUCGGAGUCCCUAGCAUCNAAUCAUAUCCNUAACACCUGUGAACUGUAAGGUUGUCUUGAAAACGAAAGUGAUUAGAGCGCCUGCCCAUUUUAUACAAACNUUAAAGUAACAAACGUAGUCUUAUUAUAAUCUAAUAAAACUUUCNACNNNNNAUCNCUUGGCUCNCGCAUNGAUGAAGAACGCAGCGAAAUGCGAUAAGUAAUGUGAAUUGCAGAAUUCAGUGAAUCAUCGAAUCUUUGAACGCACCUUGCGCUCUUUGGUAUUCCGAAGAGCAUGCCUGUUUGAGUGUCAUGAAAAUAUCAACCUUGACUUGGGUUUAGUGCUCUUGUCUUGGCUUGGAUUUGGCUGUUUGCCGCUCGAAAGGGUCGGCUCAGCUUAAAAGUAUUAGCUGGAUCUGUCUUUGAGACUUGGUUUGACUUGGCGUAAUAAGUUAUUUCGCUGAGGACAAUCUUCGGAUUGGCCGAGUUUCUGGGACGUUUGUCCGCUUUCUAAUACAAGUUCUAGCUUGCUAGACAUGACUUUUUUAUUAUCUGGCCUCAAAUCAGGUAGGACUACCCGCUGAACUUAAGCAUAUCAAUAAGCGGAGGAAAAGAAACUAACAAGGAUUCCCCUAGUAACGGCGAGUGAAGCGGGAAGAGCUCA
rnacentral:rRNA from 1 species